AGAGCCCAGCCUCUCUGCGCUGCGGAGCAGCAGCCAGUCCGACACUGAAGGACACAGAGAGAGGAGAGACUUCACAGCAGCCUUCAGCCCGGAGGAGGACAAGAAAACAGGAAUAAAAAGAAGACAAGCAUUUCUUCCUUUAUCUUUCUCUCUCUCCCGUCUGCGUUAUCGACCAGCUGGAUAAAGAGGACAAACAGCAGCAGCAGGAGGUGGAGGAGGUGGAGGUCUGUGCUCAGUUCUCCUCUCGCACCGUCAGCCCGAGGAGCCUCUCAGCCGACGGUGUCAUUGCGCCAGCAGAGUGGAUGUGUGUACUGCUGCGUGCGUGUGUGUGUGUGUGUGUGUGUGUUUAACCCUCCACGGCUGGAGAUUUGUCUCUCAGGUGGAUUUGGAGUAAACCUGGGAUUUUGAUCGCGAGGAGUUGCUUGCUGGUGUUUUGUCUGUUGCACCUCCUUUUUUCAUCCCCUCUCUCCUUCCUCCUCCGGUGCGGACGCCUCUCUCGCUCCCGCACUCACCGCUCUCUCUCUCCCCUUCUCCUCCCUCGCUCUCCUCCAGCCUCCAGCCGGCUUUGCCGUAACUGUGCCGGCACUACGGCUGCCGUUCGCCCACGGAGAGGAGAAGCAGAUGGAUCUUGUCAGAUUCUCCUCAACGUGGCGCCAACAUACAUCAUUUCCCAGAAUGCCACAGGUGUGAGCCCUCCAGGUGACCCGACUGACUGCUCCACACACCCAUCAGACGCCUGCCAACCCUCGGCCAAUCAACACAUCGUCCUCAGAGGUGCAUCCGUCCAGAGUUUCAGCGGCCCCUGGGUGUUUUGAAUGGACUUGGUGUUUGAGCAACAGAGGAGCGCGGGGAGGAGUUUCCUUCUCCUGGAUCCUGUUUGGGUGCUGUGAUUAAAAAAACCAAUAACUGGAACAAACCUCAAGCCUUGACACAAUGGAUGUAAUGUAGUUUGAGAAGACUGGACAAAAAAAGACGACUUUUUACAAUUCUUUCACAAGAUUUUGCGAGAUGUCGGCUCACAGGAGGUGACGUGCUGCUCGUUCAGCCAUGUGGCCGCAACACCCUGCAGAAACCUCCCAGAAACGUGUCCUCUGAACGCGGCCAUUUUUAACAAGCUGAGAGCUGCUGGAUGUACGAACACACACACACACACAAAACCGAAAACAAAAUACACACUCGAUAAGCUGAGCGAGGAGUUAUAAGUGCUACCAGGUUAUUAUCGGCCCCGGCGCUUCCUAUUUUCGUCUUUAAUCUUUGUAUUCUGAGUAAUCAUCAUUUUAAUUAAUGGCGACAGCGGCGUGAAAUCUUUCCUCACCACCUCCCCGCUCCCCCUUUAUCCUUCCCGCCGCCGCCAGAGACACCUGAAACCAAUUAGCAACAGCAGAUCUAGAUGGGGAUUAGACACAGGAAGAGCAGGAGAGAUUAGAUUCAAACACAAAGAGAGAAAAAGGAGAAGAAAAAAAGACGAGGGGUUAAAAAGGAUCCCGUCAGUCAUUCCGGGUAAUCGAUAUGAGGGAGGAGCAGAGGGCGGGGCAGCGGGGAGGAUAUGGCGCGAUCAGGGCGGCAGCAGACAGCAAAGAUAACAACUAGUUGUGAGUCAGCAGGUAGAGUUGAUUGCAGGAGCCCAGAGUCUUGACUGACAGGCGCUCCACCUACACAGGACUUAUUGUCAUUCGUUGCACUGUGCGGGCGAGUGAGGGAGGAAAGCACAUAGAGAGGGGGAAACAGAGCGAGAGGAGAGACUCUUGGCUAGUCGCCACGAUCAGGGCCAAUUAAGAGAAUUUGAUUAUAUGCCUUAAUCUUGGCAGUCGGGUGGAAAAGCAGACAGGAAGAGAAAGAGGAGGCAGAGCAGGUGCAACCGAUACACACCAUUAUCUCUGUCCGUCUGUAAUUGAGUCUGUUUCUGCCCCCAUCGUGUGUUUUAUUCAUCUCGUCCACAAACGAGAUCUGUCUUUCUGGAGAGGCGGCAGCAGCGGAGGCUUUUCGAGAGAAAAGGAAGGGGAGGAGAAACCCUUCUUCUGCUUCAAAUAUUCAUUUUUCACAUUAUUGUUUAGCGACAGCAAACACACUUUCGUUUGUGUUUCCCUUCCCCUCCGUCAAGGCCAAAGAGAGAUUUACUAAAUCUGGAGGACAUUUAUUUCCCUUCUCAUUCCUCUAUUUUACCCCUUUCCAUUCCUACUUCCAGAUUUGUCUUCUUCCUAAUGUCCUAUCUAGAGGUUUCCCCGCAGCCUCUACAAUCUCCAUAUCAAGCGUGAGAUAAAAGCGAAAAGAGACUCAUAGACGGAAAAAUAAAUAAAAAGAGAUAGCAAGGGACCGAAUCUGUAGAGGACAGAGCUUAGACUUUAUUUCCUCGGUCCCGGACACCCCGAGGCUCCCGCCAACAGUCCCCAAAGCUUCUCUUCCUCUUUUUAAAAUUCAUCUUCUCCCUGGAGCUUUUUUCCCAGCUCCCCUCCUUGUGGAUCGUAUACUCUGCGCCGCCAUCCGUCCGUCCAUCCUGGACUCCGCCAAGAUUAAUCUGGCUUCUGUCAUCCGAGGGAAUCUUUUGAUAUCGUCUGCUGGUGUCAUCAUCUUCAUUCUGAACUGAACUAACCAGAACAAGCCACACUUCUUCUGCACCCCCUCCCCUCCCGGUGCAUGUGUGGCUGCUCCGUCUUCUGCAUGCCUCUCAGAGACAAACACAAGACAUUCCUGUAAAGAAUAUUGACAUAACACUUUUCACAUAACACAUAACACAUUUCUCAUUUGCUGUAUACAGUAUGUAUGCAUGUAUAUAGGGACAUAUGUAUGUGUAAUAUCAUAAUAUCAUGCUGUAACAUGAUUGCCAUUUAA